rnacentral:rRNA from 1 species
GAUGAACGCUGGCGGCGUGCUUAACACAUGCAAGUCGAACGGUGAAGGCGGAGCUUGCUCUGCUGGAUCAGUGGCGAACGGGUGAGUAACACGUGAGCAAUCUGCCCCUGACUCUGGGAUAAGCGCUGGAAACGGCGUCUAAUACUGGAUACGAGCUGCGAAGGCAUCUUCAGCAGCUGGAAAGAACUUCGGUCAGGGAUGAGCUCGCGGCCUAUCAGCUUGUUGGUGAGGUAACGGCUCACCAAGGCGUCGACGGGUAGCCGGCCUGAGAGGGUGACCGGCCACACUGGGACUGAGACACGGCCCAGACUCCUACGGGAGGCAGCUGUGGGGAAUAUUGCACAAUGGGCGAAAGCCUGAUGCAGCAACGCCGCGUGAGGGACGACGGCCUUCGGGUUGUAAACCUCUUUUAGCAGGGAAGAAGCGAAAGUGACGGUACCUGCAGAAAAAGCGCCGGCUAACUACGUG